rnacentral:lncRNA from 15 species
AAGAACUCACAUUGGCCGUUGGUUACCAGCCAGAGGUUCCAGGAUGAGAAGCAGAGGAGGAAGGAAGCUGAGGAGAAGCUGCAGAAUAAGACCACAGAGUUUCAGAAGCUCUCAGAGGAGAAGCAGAGGACUGAGAAUGAGCUGAAGCCCAAGAUAACACAGGUUCAUCUUUUAUUGAUAUUCAUUUUUGCUUACAUCCACAUAUUUGUUUGUUUUUACCUUAAAAUCUCAUAUUACUGCUGUAUUAUAUCUUUAGAAUAUUUCAAUGUAUAACAACAUCAACCACACAAAGAGUCAAAGUAUAUUAAGGUUAAAAGAUUAAAUAAAAAAAACUCUUCUUGAUUCAUGAAUGUAAGUAGAGUAGCCUUUUUACUUUAGGAUUGAAUGUGUUGGAUCUCACAGUAUGUCUCCAUGUCUCUCUGCACUCCCUGUUGGAGAAUCAGCUCCUGCAGGAGAAACAGGACAGACAGAAGGACGUGGAGAACCUGAAGAAUCAGCUGGAGACCAAGAAGAAAAAGUUGGAGAACCCCUUGAAAUGAGAAAACUAAAAGGGAGAAAGCUGAGAGAGAAGUGGAGAACCUCAAGAAGCAGCUGGAGACCAAGGUCCAUGUUUUAACCUAGCACACUGUUGGUUAAUGGAGCUGUUAUUUCGUGUUUCUUUUAUUUUCUUCACAAAUGAUUCAUAUUCAGACAAGACAAUCUAAAUCUGUGACACCAUACCAUGAUCACGCCUCUCCAUAUAACAAAACGUCAGUAUACUAUUAUUAUAUUAAUAAAUGGAAUGGAAGUCUGAAUAUACGGAAUUAAACUUGUCACGUGAUCAAGGCACUGCGGCAACUUUUAAUCCAUAUAUUCAAGUUUCAUAUUAUAUAUCUAAUAAUUUCCUAAA